AAAAAAGAUUAAAGAACUUAAUUUUCAAUCACAUGAGAUGGAAAUUAGAACAAUUUGUAUGGACUUUAUUAUUGAGUUAAUAAUCCAACUUCGAGAAAGUUCAAAAUAUGCUAAGACCCUCUAAAUCUGAAGAUAUUCUCGAUGUCUUAGAAUAUUUUGAAUGUCAAGACAUUGACAACAUUAAAAUCAAAAUGGAUAAAAUAAAUUUUAUUAAAUGGGAAUGUGUGGAUGACAACAUCAAAUUUUGGACUGAAGUCCCGAAUUAUAAGGACGCUGGGAACCAAAAUCCUUUCAAUGAAUUAGCAGAUUUUGCGCUCAAAAUCUUUUCCCUGCCAUGGUCGAACGCUGAAGUUGAGCGAAUAUUCUCCCAAAUGAAUAUAGUAAAAAAUAAAUUACGCAACCGUAUGAGCCUUAAGACAUUAAAUGCGAUAUUACAUAUAAGGUAUGGACUACAUAGGCAUGACAAAUGUUGCCACAACUAUGUACUUCCCUACGAGUACUUAGUCAAAAUUUCAGCAAACGAGAAGUACACGGAUAAUAUCGAAGCAGAUGAAUUAGACGAAAUUCUAACUAUUU